rnacentral:lncRNA from 1 species
ACUUUCUCUAUGUCUAAGAUUUACACUGAGCUUCCUGUUUAUUUCUCCUGACCCUUUAGGUGAGCAAAAGCAAUGAAGAUAAAUAGUAGCCUUGAUGUCAGGAACUCAACCAAUCCUCUGUAGCCUCCACACCAGAGAAUGCAUUUGCUACAUUUGCAGACGUUCUUCCAUUUAAGAGGUUCCUGGGAGCAGAAGGCCUGGCAUCCCAGUAGAACCUUCUGUAGACACCGUUGCAAGAAUGAGAUAAC